AGAUGUUGGGUUAAGUCCCGCAACGAGCGCAACCCUCGCCCUUAGUUGCCAUCAUUUAGUUGGGCACUCUAAGGGGACUGCCGGUGAUAAGCCGGAGGAAGGUGGGGAUGACGUCAAGUCCUCAUGGCCCUUACAGGCUGGGCUACACACGUGCUACAAUGGCGGUGACAGAGGGAUGCAAAGGAGCAAUCCUUAGCAAAUCUCAAAAAGCCGUCUCAGUUCGGAUUGUGCUCUGCAACUCGAGCACAUGAAGUUGGAAUCGCUAGUAAUCGCAGAUCAGCACACUGCGGUGAAUACGUUCCCGGGCCUUGUACACACCGCCCGUCACACCAUGGGAGUUGGCUCUACCUGAAGGCGGUGCGCUAACCCGCAAGGGAGGCAGCCGACCACGGUAGGGUCAGCGACUGGGGUGAAGUCGUAACAAGGUAGCCGUAGGGGAACCUGCGGCUGGAUCACCUCCUU
rnacentral:rRNA from 1 species